rnacentral:lncRNA from 1 species
UUUUGAGCUGAGACUAGGCCAUUUUUCCCAUUCUUUCAUUUUUACUGAUAUUAGGGUUUGAAAAUGCUAUGAAUUUUCCUCUGACCACUGCUCUAAAUGCAUCUCCUAUGUUAUGAUGUGUAGUGUUUCUAUUGUCAUUAUUUUUUCAUGAAAGUUUAAAAUUUCAGUUUGUAUCCCCCUUUAUGUUAAAGAUUUUAUAGAAUUCUUUCCACAUGGAAGGGUCUUUUUGUUUGUUUGCUUGUAUCAUUGUUGUUGAUAAUUUCUAGUUUACUGCAUUUUGAUCAGAAAGUUGUUUAUAUUUCCACAUUAUGGAAAUUGCUAAUGCUUUUUUUAUAACCCGAUUUAUGAUGAAUAUUUGGAACUGUACCAUGGACACACGAGAAGGAACUGUGUUACCUACCAUCAGGGUAUGAAGGUCACUACAUAUCAUAGAGUCUUAUUGAUUAUAUUGUUUUGAUCUUCCAUAUCCUUAUUGAUUGUCCACUUGAUUGUAUUUUGGAGUGAUCAAUAAAUGCAUUCUAUUAUUAAUGUGUUUAUUUUUUACAUUUUGUUUCCUAUGUGUGGCCACCGUGUUACUUGGUGCAUAAAUAUACAUUCAUUGUGAAUUGUGUUUUUUAGCAUUAAAAAGUAUUCCUUGUCUUGACAUUUAAUGGUUUUGGUUUUAAAUUCUACUUUGUCUGAUAUCAGAAUUGCUACUACUACUCCCUCUCUCUGUUUCCAUUUUCAUGGUACACAUCUGUCCAAUUCUUUAUUUGUAGUAUUUAUGAGUAUGUUUAGUUUAGGCAUCUUUCUGUUAUAAAGUAUAUAGUUAGGUCCCGUUUUGUGAACCAAUAGCAAGUUUUCUUAUUUUAUUACAUGACUGAAAUCCACGCACAUUCUGGAAUCCACUUACUGAUGACUGUGUUAAUGCAGCUGACUCUCCACGUUUGGGUGUGGCUGAGAAGAUGAAAGAAGGCUACAGGAUGUAGUUCCCUUUCCUGAGCAGGCUUGUUGGGGAGGAUCAGUCUUUCCUGCUCCCACUUUGCUUUACGCCCCUGGUUAUUCAGAGACCAGAUAAUCCUUAGUGACAGCAGUUGACCACUUCCACAAGACUUCAGAGAAAUACACCCAGCUCCCAUUUCUAAGAAGAGGGAUUUCUCUGAUGGUUUGGGAAUGAUUUCCUCCUUUUGUGAGGCUGCAGCUGCAAGGGAGACAAGGGGAGAAGGCUGCAGCUGCAUUCUGAAGGUUUCUCUAAAGAACAAGCAGGGGCAAGGAAUUAAUAGUUUAAAGCCAAAUCAAACCAAAAUGCAACAAACUAAAAACCAAAAAAACCCCAUAACUUGAGAAGGGUGAAAAUUUGACUUUAUUUCUUUCUAAGUUUACCUGAAAUUAUCUACAUUGUUUGCAAAUGUAGAUAAAUGCAUUGUCUACAAAGAUUUUCAUAAUUGGGCAUUUUUCUAUUUUUGGUGCUCAGCUUACUUACUUAAAUGCAUUGGUAAAAUUGACCACUUACUGGGAUUUGAGUAUUCAUCCUGAAGUGAUCCAAAUCCUUUCACUGUAAUCUGCAUCGGCAAAAUACCAAAUACAACAGAUUGCUUCCAGAAUGCUGGCCUCAAUAUUCACAUGUCUUAUAGUAGAAAGAGAGAGUCCUGGACUGGAUGGGAGGAACCCAAUAUUCUAGCAUUGCCUUUUCCCCAACCAGUUAUAAAUAUGGGUGAAUCACAUUGCCUUGGAGAUCCUGAGUCUUUGCUCUAUAAAAUAAGGGGGCUGAUGUAUUUGGCUCUUGAGAGACUCGUCAGUACCAGGGUUUAAUCUUUACCAUUAACAGUCUAAUUAGCUUCCAUGUUUCCUCCUGCACAAAUAUGCUAGGCCUUGCAUUCUCUACUACACAACUUCAUUGUUUUAAGCUGGAGGCAAUUAGAAAAAUAAACUGCUUUGGGGUGGAGCCAAGAUGGCUGAAUAGGAACAGCUCCAGUCUACAGCUCCCAGCGUGAGUGACACAGAAGAUGGGUGAUUUCUGCAUUUCCAGCUGAGGUACCAGGUUCAUCUCUCGGGGGAGUGCUGGACAGUGGGUGCAGGACAGUGGGUGCAGUGCACUGUUCGUGAGCUUAAGCAGGGCGAGGCAUUGCCUCACCCGGGAAGUGCAAGGGGUCAGGGAAUUCCCUUUCCUAGUUGAAGAAAGGGGUGACAGACGGCACCUGGAAUAUUGGGUCACUCCCACCCUAAUACUGUGCUCUUCCAAUGGGCUUAACAAACGGUACACCAGGAGAUUAUAUCCCGCACAUGGCUCGGAGGGUCCUACGCCCACGGAGCCUCACUCAUUUGCUAGCACAGCAGUCUGAGAUCAAACUGCAAAGCGGCAGCGAGGCUAGGGGAGGGGCAUCCGCCAUUGCUCAGGCUUGAGUAGGUAAACAAAGUGGCCGGGAAGCUCAAACUCAGUGGAGCCCACCACAGCUCAAG